GGAAGUGCAAGACCAAGGGGUGCACAUAGUCUGAACAUCUAAGUCUUAAUUACCAUAGUGAUAAAUGAUCUGGGGGAAGAGGUGCGCAGUGGAAUCUCCAAGGUCAUGUGCCAGGUAGUGAGCUGAGAGUGGCAGAAAGGAGGCUGCGUGGGAUGUGACCGAGCUGCGUGGGAGGGCAGACACCUGCCCGCUGAGUGUCAGUGUGGGCAAGAGGAAGGUAAUAACAGCUGAAGGAAAACAAUUUAAUGAACUGAAAACCAUUACUUAAAGUUGUAAAUCCACCAUCCAGCCUGCCCUGGCUUCCAGCCUCCUCCUCCCACCCCCACCCCCACCCCGCCAAAAAAAUCAAGAACAUGCAGAUAGCAAUACUAAAAACAAAACAUCAUGAUUGCAUCUUGGUACCAAAUUAUUAUAAAUUGACACCAUAAUGUGUGUCGUUCUGUUCUCUGCCAUUUACAGAUGGCGUGACAGGACUGGAAGGGCUCCAGGAGAGAGUAAUUAAAAUGAUUAGCAGAAAGCGGGUCCUUCACAGGAGGCAAAAAAAACCAAACUCCAUCCUUCAGCGGAAAGUGAGAGCUUGGCCGUGACACGCCAAAGGUGUGCACAGUCAGAACACAGACAAUGGUGCCGAAUCUCACAGUACCAGCAGUACAGGAUAGCGCGCCAUCAGUGGUUGACAGAGGCAGAUUUGGAAGAAAUGAAUAGGAACUGCUAUUUUGCGUGGCAGAUAACGUGGAUAUCCUUACCCCCAGAGGCUGACACAUGAGUCCUCCGUCUUGUCCAAAUGUGGAAUGAAGAUGGCACAGAAGACCAGCUCGUGGGCCUCUGGGUGGGAUUCGGAGGGCUGGGAAGAGAGGCAGUGCUGGACGGUGGUGUUGGUCUUUACUCUCUGUAUUAACCUGUGGAUUAUGAGAGCCUGUGACAAAUCACAUGGAAAACCUUUCAAGACAAAACUUUCUAAGAUUUAUCUUGUGAACAGCAGUUGUGUUCUUCAAUAAAACCGUCCUUAGGUGUCAAGCUGAAGUUUGGACUGGACUGGAUAGCUAGCGAGACUUCUAUUGUAGUAUUUUCUGGGUGCUAGGAUCACAGGUGUGAGUAGCUAUCAUUCUGCCACACCGUGCAAAGCUCAUGAGGCCAGAGGCUAGAUGGCACCCCAAAAUAUCCCCAAGAAUUACUCCAAAAGGCAAUCCAGAGGCCAGAGUAUCCAAG
rnacentral:lncRNA from 1 species